ACUGACCUUGUUGAAUGUUGUCUCUUUUCAGUCUAUGCCAUUCGUGAAGCUGCCACCAACAAUCUGACCAAACUGGUGGAGAAGUUUGGAGCUGAGUGGGCUCAGAACACCAUCGUGCCCAAAGUUCUGGGCAUGGCCAAUGACCCCAAUUACCUCCACAGGAUGACCACUCUUUUCUGCAUCAAUGCUCUGUCACAGGCCUGUGGACAGGAUAUCACCACUAAGCAGAUGCUGCCAGUGGUCCUUAAGAUGUCCAAUGACCA